CCCUUAGAGUUUGAUCCUGGCUCAGGACGAACGCUGGCGGCGUGCCUAAUACAUGCAAGUCGAGCGAGCUUGCCUAGAUGAAUUUGGUGCUUGCACCAAAUGAAACUAGAUACAAGCGAGCGGCGGACGGGUGAGUAACACGUGGGUAACCUGCCCAAGAGACUGGGAUAACACCUGGAAACAGAUGCUAAUACCGGAUAACAACACUAGACGCAUGUCUAGAGUUUAAAAGAUGGUUCUGCUAUCACUCUUGGAUGGACCUGCGGUGCAUUAGCUAGUUGGUAAGGUAACGGCUUACCAAGGCAAUGAUGCAUAGCCGAGUUGAGAGACUGAUCGGCCACAUUGGGACUGAGACACGGCCCAAACUCCUACGGGAGGCAGCAGUAGGGAAUCUUCCACAAUGGACGCAAGUCUGAUGGAGCAACGCCGCGUGAGUGAAGAAGGGUUUCGGCUCGUAAAGCUCUGUUGGUAGUGAAGAAAGAUAGAGG
rnacentral:rRNA from 1 species